GUGUGCAACCUGCCUUUAUCUGAGGGAUAGCCUUUCGAAAGGAAGAUUAAUACCUCAUAAUAUACUGAUUGGCAUCAAUUAGUAUUGAAAGCUCCGGCGGAUAGAGAUGGGCACGCGCAAGAUUAGAUAGUUGGUGAGGUAACGGCUCACCAAGUCAAUGAUCUUUAGGGGGCCUGAGAGGGUGAUCCCCCACACUGGUACUGAGACACGGACCAGACUCCUACGGGAGGCAGCAGUGAGGAAUAUUGGACAAUGGGUGCAAGCCUGAUCCAGCCAUCCCGCGUGAAGGACGACGGCCCUAUGGGUUGUAAACUUCUUUUGUACAGGGAUAAACCUACUCUCGUGAGGGUAGCUGAAGGUACUGUACGAAUAAGCACCGGCUAACUCCGUGCCAGCAGCCGCGGUAAUACGGAGGGUGCAAGCGUUAUCCGGAUUUAUUGGGUUUAAAGGGUCCGCAGGCGGGCUAGUAAGUCAGUGGUGAAAGCCUACAGCUUAACUGUAGAACUGCCGUUGAUACUGCUAGUCUUGAGUAUAGUUGAGGUAGCUGGAAUGAGUAGUGUAGCGGUGAAAUGCAUAGAUAUUACUCAGAACACCGAUUGCGAAGGCAGGUUACCAAGUUAUAACUGACGCUGAGGGACGAAAGCGUGGGGAGCGAACAGGAUUAGAUACCCUGGUAGUCCACGCCGUAAACGAUGCUAACUCGUUUUUGGGCUAUAUGGUUCAGAGACUAAGCGAAAGUGAUAAGUUAGCCACCUGGGGAGUACGACCGCAAGGUUGAAACUCAAAGGAAUUGACGGGGGCCCGCACAAGCGGUGGAUCAUGUGGUUUAAUUCGAUGAUACGCGAGGAACCUUACCAAGGCUUAAAUGGGAAUUGAUAGCUGUAGAAAUACGGUUUUCUUCGGACAAUUUUCAAGGUGCUGCAUGGUUGUCGUCAGCUCGUGCCGUGAGGUGUUAGGUUAAGUCCUGCAACGAGCGCAACCCCUGUCACUAGUUGCCAUCAUUAAGUUGGGGACUCUAGUGAGACUGCCUACGCAAGUAGCGAGGAAGGUGGGGAUGACGUCAAAUCAUCACGGCCCUUACGCCUUGGGCCACACACGUGAUACAAUGGCCGGUACAGAGGGCAGCUACACUGCGAAGUGAUGCAAAUCUCGAAAGCCGGUCUCAGUUCGGAUUGGAGUCUGCAACUCGACUCUAUGAAGCUGGAAUCGCUAGUA
rnacentral:rRNA from 1 species